rnacentral:rRNA from 1 species
UCGAAACCUGCCCAGCAGAGCGACCCGUGAACAUGUUCAACYUCAUGGGUGCNNNNNCGGCAGGUGCCUUGUGCCCCUGCUUGCCCCUAUCCCAGGCCNAGAGGCGCCNACUUGUGAGCUGUCCCCUUGGCCCAACAACGAANCCCNGCGCGUAAUGCNUCAAGGAAUAUAAACUUAAUGUGUGUGCUCUCCCUCUGCCCGGUUAGCCGGUGCGGGGGAGUGGUGCCAUGUCUUAACAAUA